CGCGGUAAUACGUAUGUCGCAAGCGUUAUCCGGAAUUAUUGGGCAUAAAGGGCAUCUAGGCGGCCAGAUAAGUCUGGGGUGAAAACUUGCGGCUCAACCGCAAGCCUGCCCUGGAAACUAUGUGGCUAGAGUACUGGAGAGGUGGACGGAACUGCACGAGUAGAGGUGAAAUUCGUAGAUAUGUGCAGGAAUGCCGAUGAUGAAGAUAGUUCACUGGACGGUAACUGACGCUGAAGUGCGAAAGCUAGGGGAGCAAACAGGAUUAGAUACC
rnacentral:rRNA from 14 species